rnacentral:rRNA from 1 species
GAUGAACGCUGGCGGCGUGCCUAAUACAUGCAAGUCGAGCGAACGGACGAGAAGCUUGCUUCUCUGAUGUUAGCGGCGGACGGGUGAGUAACACGUGGAUAACCUACCUAUAAGACUGGGAUAACUUCGGGAAACCGGAGCUAAUACCGGAUAAUAUUUUGAACCGCAUGGUUCAAAAGUGAAAGGCGGUCUUGCUGUCACUUAUAGAUGGAUCCGCGCUGCAUUAGCUAGUUGGUAAGGUAACGGCUUACCAAGGCAACGAUGCAUAGCCGACCUGAGAGGGUGAUCGGCCACACUGGACCUGAGACACGGUCCAGACUCCUACGGGAGGCAGCAGUAGGGAAUCUUCCGCAAUGGGCGAAAGCCUGACGGAGCAACGCCGCGUGAGUGAUGAAGGUCUUCGGAUCGUAAAACUCUGUUAUUAGGGAAGAACAUAUGUGUAAGUAACUGUGCACAUCUUGACGGUACCUAAUCAGAAAGCCACGGCUAACUACGUG